UUGACCUCGAAUCAGGUAGGGAUACCCGCUGAACUUAAGCAUAUCAAUAAGCGGAGGAANNNNNNNNNNNNNNNNNNNNNNNNGUAACGGCGAGUGAAGCGGUAACAGCUCAAAUUUGAAAUCUGGUCCGUUUACGGGCCCGAGUUGUAAUUUGUAGAAGAUGCUUUGGCGACGAGUCCGGCCUAAGUUCCCUGGAACAGGACGUCAUAGAGGGUGAGAACCCCGUAUGCGGCCGGGUGCUCGUUGCUAUGUAAAGCUCUUUCGACGAGUCGAGUUGUUUGGGAAUGCAGCUCAAAAUGGGUGGUAAAUUUCAUCUAAAGCUAAAUAUUGGCCAGAGACCGAUAGCGCACAAGUAGAGUGAUCGAAAGAUGAAAAGCACUUUGGAAAGAGAGUUAAACAGUACGUGAAAUUGUUGAAAGGGAAGCGCUUGCAACCAGACUUGGGCACUGUGGAUCAUCCGAGGUUCUCCUCGGUGCACUCGGCAGUGCGCAGGCCAGCAUCAGUUUGGGUGGUUGGAUAAAGACUUGUGGAAUGUAGCUCCUUUCGGGGAGUGUUAUAGCCACAGGUGCCAUGCGACCAACCCGGACUGAGGACCGCGCUUCGGCUAGGAUGCUGGCGUAAUGGUUGUAAGCGACCCGUCUUGAAACACGGACCAAGGAGUCUAACAUCUAUGCGAGUGUUUGGGUGUUAAACCCAUACGCGGAAUGAAAGUGAACGUAGGUGAGAACCCAUAAGGGGGCAUCAUCGACCGAUCCGGAUGUUUUCGGAUGGAUUUGAGUAAGAGCAUAGCUGUUGGGACCCGAAAGAUGGUGAACUAUGCCUGAAUAGGGUGAAGCCAGAGGAAACUCUGGUGGAGGCUCGCAGCGGUUCUGACGUGCAAAUCGAUCGUCAAAUUUGGGUAUAGGGGCGAA
rnacentral:rRNA from 1 species